CACGGCCCAAACUCCUACGGGAGGCAGCAGUGGGGAAUAUUGGACAAUGGGCGCAAGCCUGAUCCAGCCAUGCCGCGUGAGUGAUGAAGGCCUUAGGGUUGUAAAGCUCUUUCGCUCGGGACGAUAAUGACGGUACCGAGAUAAGAAGCCCCGGCUAACUUCGUGCCAGCAGCCGCGGUAAUACGAAGGGGGCUAGCGUUGUUCGGAAUUACUGGGCGUAAAGCGCGUGUAGGCGGGUCUUUAAGUCAGGGGUGAAAUGCCAAGGCUCAACCUUGGAACUGCCUUUGAUACUGGAGAUCUUGAGUCCGGGAGAGGUGAGUGGAAUUGCGAGUGUAGAGGUGAAAUUCGUAGAUAUUCGCAAGAACACCAGUGGCGAAGGCGGCUCACUGGCCCGGAACUGACGCUGAGACGCGAAAGCGUGGGGAGCAAACAGGAUUAGAUACCCUGGUAGUCCACGCUGUAAACGAUGGAUGCUAGCCGUUGGGGAGCUUGCUCUUCAGUGGCGCAGCUAACGCUUUAAGCAUCCCGCCUGGGGAGUACGGUCGCAAGAUUAAAACUCAAAGGAAUGA
rnacentral:rRNA from 1 species